rnacentral:rRNA from 1 species
UGCCUUAGUAGCGGCGAGUGAAGCGGCAAAAGCUCAAAUUUGAAAUCUGGCGCCUUCGGUGUCCGAGUUGUAAUUUGAAGAUUGUAACCUUGGGGUUGGCUCUUGUCUAUGUUUCUUGGAACAGGACGUCACAGAGGGUGAGAAUCCCGUGCGAUGAGAUGCCCAAUUCUAUGUAAGGUGCUUUCGAAGAGUCGAGUUGUUUGGGAAUGCAGCUCUAAGUGGGUGGUAAAUUCCAUCUAAAGCUAAAUAUUGGCGAGAGACCGAUAGCGAACAAGUACAGUGAUGGAAAGAUGAAAAGAACUUUGAAAAGAGAGUGAAAAAGUACGUGAAAUUGUUGAAAGGGAAGGGUUUGAGAUCAGACUCGAUAUUUUGUGAGCCUUGCCUUCGUGGCGGGGUGACCCGCAGCUUAUCGGGCCAGCAUCGGUUUGGGCGGUAGGAUAAUGGCGUAGGAAUGUGACUUUACUUCGGUGAAGUGUUAUAGCCUGCGUUGAUGCUGCCUGCCUAGACCGAGGACUGCGAUUUUAUCAAGGAUGCUGGCAUAAUGAUCCCAAACCGC